GAUGAACGCUGGCGGCGUGCCUUAUACAUGCAAGUCGAGCGAACAGACGAGGAGCUUGCUCCUCUGACGUUAGCGGCGGACGGGUGAGUAACACGUGGAUAACCUACCUAUAAGACUGGGAUAACUUCGGGAAACCGGAGCUAAUACCGGAUAAUAUAUUGAACCGCAUGGUUCAAUAGUGAAAGACGGUUUUGCUGUCACUUAUAGAUGGAUCCGCGCCGCAUUAGCUAGUUGGUAAGGUAACGGCUUACCAAGGCAACGAUGCGUAGCCGACCUGAGAGGGUGAUCGGCCACACUGGAACUGAGACACGGUCCAGACUCCUACGGGAGGCAGCAGUAGGGAAUCUUCCGCAAUGGGCGAAAGCCUGACGGAGCAACGCCGCGUGAGUGAUGAAGGUCUUCGGAUCGUAAAACUCUGUUAUUAGGGAAGAACAAAUGUGUAAGUAACUAUGCACGUCUUGACGGUAUCUAAUCAGAAAGCCACGGCUAACUACGUG
rnacentral:rRNA from 1 species